rnacentral:rRNA from 1 species
AUUGAACGCUGGCGGCAGGCUUAACACAUGCAAGUCGAGCGGUAGCACAAGAGAGCUUGCUCUCUGGGUGACGAGCGGCGGACGGGUGAGUAAUGUCUGGGAAACUGCCUGAUGGAGGGGGAUAACUACUGGAAACGGUAGCUAAUACCGCAUAACGUCGCAAGACCAAAGAGGGGGACCUUCGGGCCUCUUGCCAUCAGAUGUGCCCAGAUGGGAUUAGCUAGUAGGUGGGGUAAUGGCUCACCUAGGCGACGAUCCCUAGCUGGUCUGAGAGGAUGACCAGCCACACUGGAACUGAGACACGGUCCAGACUCCUACGGGAGGCAGCAGUGGGGAAUAUUGCACAAUGGGCGCAAGCCUGAUGCAGCCAUGCCGCGUGUGUGAAGAAGGCCUUCGGGUUGUAAAGCACUUUCAGCGAGGAGGAAGGUGGUGAACUUAAUACGUUCAUCAAUUGACGUUACUCGCAGAAGAAGCACCGGCUAACUCCGUA